rnacentral:rRNA from 1 species
UACGUAGGGGGCAAGCGUUGUCCGGAAUCAUUGGGCGUAAAGCGCGUGUAGGCGGCUCGAUAAGUCCGUUCUGAAAGUCCAGGGCUCAACCCUGGGAUGCGGAUGGAUACUGUCGAGCUCGAGUCCGGAAGAGGCGAGUGGAAUUCCUGGUGUAGCGGUGAAAUGCGCAGAUAUCGGGAGGAACACCUAUGGCGAAGGCAGCUCGCUGGGACGUUACUGACGCUGAGACGCGAAAGCGUGGGGAGCAAACAGG